rnacentral:piRNA from 1 species
UGAAAGGUGCUCUCAAACCCUUCUCC